rnacentral:rRNA from 1 species
GUGCCAGCCGCCGCGGUAAUUCCAGCUCCAAUAGCGUAUAUUAAUGUUGCUGCAGUUAAAAAGCUCGUAGUUGGAUUUCUGACUUGGCGCACCUGGCCCGCCACGGUUACGUGUGUGAGUGCCGGGAUGCGCCUGUCACUUUUCUGGUAAACCAUUGUGCUCUUCACUGAGUGCGAUGGGUAGCCAGAUAUUUUACUUUGAAAAAAUUAGAGUGUUUAAAGCAGGCGUUUGCUAUGAAUACAUUAGCAUGGAAUAAUAAGUUAGGACUUCGGUUCUAUUUUGUUGGUUUCUAGGACUGAAGUAAUGAUUGAUAGGGAUAGUUGGGGGUGCUAGUAUUCAGCGGCCAGAGGUGAAAUUCUCGGAUUCGCUGAAGACUAACUUAUGCGAAAGCAUUCACCAAGGAUGUCUUCUUUAAUCAAGAACGAAAGUUGGGGGAUCGAAGACGAUCAGAUACCGUCGUAGUCUCAACCAUAAACUAUGCCGACUUGGGAUGAGUGAACGUUGCAUUCUCGACUUCAUUCGCACCAUAUGAGAAAUCAAAGUCCUUGGGUUCCGGGGGGAGUAUGGUCGCAAGGCUGAAACUUAAAGGAAUUGACGGAAGGGCACCACCAGGAGUAGAGCCUGCGGCUUAAUUUGACUCAACACGGGGAAACUUACCAGGUCCAGACUCAGUGAGGAUUGACAGAUUGAAGAUCUUUCUUGAUUUUGAGGGUGGUGGUGCAUGGCCGUUCUUAGUUGGUGGAGCGAUUUGUCUGUUUAUUCCGUUAACGAACGAGACCACGACCUGCUAAAUAGUUCGGUCUAGGGUUCGCUCUAGAUACGUGACUUCUUAGAGGGACUAUCGGUGUGUAGCCGAUGGAAGUUCGUGGCAAUAACAGGUCUGUGAUGCCCUUAGAUGUUCUGGGCCGCACGCGCGCUACACUGAUGCGUUCAUCGAGCUUACAACCUUGUCUGGGAGGACUGGGUAAUCUUUGAAAACGCAUCGUGCUGGGGAUAGGUUAUUGUAAUUAUUAAUCUUCAACGAGGAAUUCCUAGUAAACGCGUGUCAUCAACACGCAUUGAUUACGUCCCUGCCCUUUGCACACACCGCCCGUC